rnacentral:rRNA from 1 species
CCUACGGGCGGCAGCAGUGGGGAAUAUUGCACAAUGGGGGAAACCCUGAUGCAGCGACGCCGCGUGAGUGAAGAAGCGUUUCGGCGCGUAAAGCUCUGUCAGCGGGGAAGUAACACGGUUCGCGAGAGCCGCGGACGGUACCCGACCAAGAAGCCCCGGCUAACUACGUGCCAGCAGCCGCGGUAAUACGGAGGAUGCGAGCGUUAUCCGGAUUUAUUGGGUUUAAAGGGUGCGUAGGCGGAAUGCCAAGUCAGCGGUAAAAUCGCGGGGCUCAACCUCGCUCCGCCGUUGAAACUGGCGUUCUUGAGUGGGCGAGAAGUAUGCGGAAUGCGUGGUGUAGCGGUGAAAUGCAUAGAUAUCACGCAGAACUCCGAUUGCGAAGGCAGCAUACCGGCGCCCAACUGACGCUGAAGCACGAAAGCGUGGGUAUCGAACAGGAUUAGAUACCCCUGUAGUC